GAUGAACGCUGGCGGCGUGCCUAAUACAUGCAAGUCGAGCGAACAGACGCGGAGCUUGCUCCUCUGACGUUAGCGGCGGGCGGGAGAGUAACACGUGGAUAACCUCCCUAUAAGACUGGGAUAACUUCGGGAAACCGGCGCUUAUACCGGAUAACAUGUUGAACCGCAUGGUUCAUCGGUGAGAGACGGUCUUGCUGUCUCUUAUCGCUGGUUACGGGCCGCUUUAGCUAGUUGGUAAGGUCCCGGCUUACCACGGGAACCAUGCGUAGCCGACCUGAGGGGGUGAUCGCCGGCACGGGAGCGGAGCCGCGGUCCAGACGCCUACGGGAGGCAGCAGUAGGGAAUCGGACGCAAUGGGCGAGAGCCUGACGGAGCGACGGCGCGUGAGUGAAGGAGGUCUUCGGAGCGUAAAACUCUGUUAUUAGGUAUGAACAGAUGUGUAAGUAACUAUGCACGUCGUGACGGUACCGAAUCAGAAAGCCACGGCUAACUACGUG
rnacentral:rRNA from 1 species